UACGAAGGGUGCAAACGUUGCUCGGAAUUAUUGGGCGUAAAGCGCACGUAGGCGGCCUUGUAAGUCGGAUGUGAAAUCCCUCGGCUUAACCGAGGACGUGCAUCCGAAACUGUGAGGCUCGAGUAUGGAAGAGGGUCGCAGAAUUCCCGGUGUAGAGGUGAAAUUCGUAGAUAUCGGGAGGAAUACCAGUGGCGAAGGCGGCGACCUGGGCCAAUACUGACGCUGAGGUGCGAAAGCCAGGGGAGCGAACGGG
rnacentral:rRNA from 1 species